rnacentral:lncRNA from 1 species
UUCUUUUGAAGCACCCAAGAUAGCUCAGGCUGCUGAACAGACACAAAUGGGAAACCUCUAGAAGAUAUUUAAAUCCCAGAAAAUUCUGUAACCAAGGCUCUUGAGUGGCUUGCUCCAGCCUGCUCCCACCCUGUGGAGUGCACUUUCCUUUAAAAUAAAUGUCUGCUUUCACUGUCUUGUUUUGUUUUGUGUGUUUUGUCCAAUUCUUUGUUUAAAACGCCAAGAAUCUGCACAGCUACCCUCAAUUGGUAACACUACUGACAUCCAUCACACACUCAGCCUUUUAUUGGACACCUGCUAUUUGUCAGACUUUGUGCCCACCCUCAUUUCCUAUGGGGAUGAAGAUUGUGGGGGUGGUGGGGAGUACAAAGUUACUGCAGAGGGCAGGACUGGUGGUGGCUAGGCUUGCACAGAUGGGGCCUCCGGAGAAGGGAAACAGGUUUAGCUAG